GGGGAAUAUUGCACAAUGGGGGAAACCCUGAUGCAGCGACGCCGCGUGAAGGAUGAAGUAUUUCGGUAUGUAAACUUCUAUCAGCAGGGAAGAAAAUGACGGUACCUGACUAAGAAGCCCCGGCUAACUACGUGCCAGCAGCCGCGGUAAUACGUAGGGGGCAAGCGUUAUCCGGAUUUACUGGGUGUAAAGGGAGCGUAGACGGUAUGGCAAGUCUGAUGUGAAAGGCCAGGGCUCAACCCUGGGACUGCAUUGGAAACUGUCGAACUAGAGUGUCGGAGAGGCAAGUGGAAUUCCUAGUGUAGCGGUGAAAUGCGUAGAUAUUAGGAGGAACACCAGUGGCGAAGGCGGCUUGCUGGACGAUGACUGACGUUGAGGCUCGAAAGCGUGGGGAGCAAAC
rnacentral:rRNA from 1 species